rnacentral:rRNA from 1 species
UACGUAGGGUGCAAGCGUUGUCCGGAAUUAUUGGGCGUAAAGAGCUCGUAGGCGGCUUGUCGCGUCGUCCGUGAAAACUUGGGGCUCAACCCCAAGCUUGCGGUCGAUACGGGCAGGCUAGAGUUCGGUAGGGGAGACUGGAAUUCCUGGUGUAGCGGUGAAAUGCGCAGAUAUCAGGAGGAACACCGGUGGCGAAGGCGGGUCUCUGGGCCGAUACUGACGCUGAGGAGCGAAAGCGUGGGGAGCAAACAGG